GACAGAGGUGCCGAGCGUUAGGCGGAAUCACUGGGCUUAACGCGUGUGUAGGCGGCCCGUUAAGUACCUUGUGAAAUCCCACGGCUCAACCGUGGAACGGCUGGGUAUACUGGCGGUCUUGAGCGGCCUAGGGGCAGACGGAACAAGUGGUGGAGCGGUGAAAUGCGUAGAUAUCACUUGGAACGCCGACGGUGAAAACAGUCUGCUGGGGGCCUGCUGACGCUGAGACACGAAAGCCAGGGGAGCGAACGGG
rnacentral:rRNA from 1 species